CCUACCAAGGUUUCUGUCCUUAAGGCUGAGGUAGUAGAUUGAAUAGUUGUGGGGUUUGGUCCUCCCUCUGAGAUAACUAUACAGUCUACUGUCUUUCCUAAGGAGACAGACUG
rnacentral:miRNA from 1 species